rnacentral:lncRNA from 1 species
UGACGACGCCGCGUUUGAGUUUGGAGCCAUGAGACGACGCUGGAUUGAGGGAGGAAGGGCGGAGCUUGUGGCCGGAGAAGUCGGAGGAGAGGCUGUUGCCGGCGAAGGGAGAGAGGAAGCUGGUGGACAGGGAGGCUUUGGUAGGGGAAUGACACGACGUCAGAUGGGGGCGGGUAGUGUUCAGGGCUCGGGGAGUGGUGGGCGUUGCUAACAUGCGCGUGUGGAGCGCGAAGCUGGAAGCUGUGGUGGCCACCUCCAUUGAUGAGUUUCGAGCUUUGGUUAACAGGUGAACUCAGUAUCCAAAUAAAAGGAGAUAUCGAAACCAAAUAAAGUGGGCUCUUUUGGUUUUUGGGCUAUAAAAUGUUUAGCCCAUAACAUAGGACAUCCGAGCCCAAUAUGACCUUUCGCUCAACUUUAUAUUUACACUGAGAGGUGGAAUAUCCACGAUAUUCGAAUUUAAGAUCUCUUAUUUACAUGAAAAUUUUAAUUUAUUAGUGAAAAAUAAAUAAAGUUGAAGGAAAAAAGAAAACAAGUACGAGAAUUGGUGAAAUUCCAACUAUUUGGCUAUAAUCACCAUGAACCUGUCAAUAGCCGGAUUUACCUAAAACUAUGAUUAAUAUUUGGCUAAGAAAACUCGUUACAUGACGGUGUAACAUUAUUUCACAAAUUAUUUUCAAAGAUCUUGUUCGCUCAUGAAGCAGUGAGUUAAGAGAAAAAUUGUGCUCGAUCGUGUGAAACACUAAAAUUUAGUGGUGGGCAUUAAAUCAACCGAACAAUCCAAAUCGACCGAUCCAAACUGCUUUCGUCAGUUUAGUAUCAUUUUGACCAAGAAAAAAUUCAAACAAUUUAAAAACCGAACUGAUUUUGUGUUGCUUUAUUUCACUCUUGAAAUUGACCAAAACUAAACCGAACUGAUCAUAUAUUUUUUUAAUUAUAAUUUUACUUAUUUUAUACAUAUCAACAAAUCAUAGGUUAUUUGGACGUCUAACCAUACGUACAUUAAAAGUGUUCAACAUAUUAUAAGUUUUAGAGACUAUUAACAAUUAGGAGCUUUAAGCUUAUAGGUGAUAGGUUAUUUGUAGUUUAAGCUUAUGCGUGUUUGUAACUAAUAAAUCGUUUGCUAACAUAACACUUUAUUUAAUUGAGACUUAGUCCUAGCUCACUUGAUGAAAAUUUGUGUUACAAAAACUUAAUUUUUUGAUCGAAUUGGAAUGUGUGAGGUCUAUAGAUGUUUAGAAAAUUAAAACUCUUUAAAUGUUGGACAUUUUUAUUUAAUUUGUAGGGAAUAGGCUUAAACCGACCAAACCAAAACGAUUAACAAUGGUUUGGUUUCUAUUGUGAUGUUGGACAAAACCAAACCAAACUAAACUAUUAAAUGCUAUUUGGUUUAGUGAUAUUUUUUUAUGUUAAACCGAACCGCGCCCACCCUUGCUUUAAUUGUUGUUGUUGUUGUUGUUGUUGAAGUAUUAAUAUUAACAAUAAACACCACGUUUUCAUUUCAAAGAACUUGUUAUUUUGACAAACAAUAGAAUAAUUUACACGAAAUUCAUGAAUGAAUUUGAACCCGAAACACAUUGUGUUGAAGGCCCUAACCACCAGAAGCAAUCCACCAUUUGCUUCGUAGAACUUGGUUUGGUUGAGAUUGCAAAAUAUUUUCAACAUAUUGAAAAGGGAAGUCAAUUCCGCACACGCAUUUCCCUCUCUGCACACCCAUACUUAUUUCCAUUCGAAAACGACUACAAAGUUGUGUGCACGAAUCAUUUCCCUUCGAAAAUGAUUGCGGGGUUCUAGUUUCUUCAGAUCAAACAUUACGAAAGGCAUGUUCACCAAAAAAAAAAAAAAAAAAAAAAAAAAAACUUUUUUUACCAAACUUAUGAUUACAUUUGCUGGAAGUUUUUCAUCAAGUAAAAAGGAAUAUGUACAAAUUUUCAGAUGGCCAGAGGCAAAAGUUAACUACACACCCAAAUCCAACACAGAAGGGCUAGAAAUACCCUCUGUAUAAUAUUAUCCAAUGUUGGUCCUCCUAUAGUCUCAUACAAGCUAACAACCCUUCAAGUCCCUCCAUCUUAGGUACAGUAGACCGGCACGGUAGUGUAUGUAAGCUGCUGCCACAACCAAGAUAUGGAAAAGCUGGUGACUGCUCCCAGCAAUAUCAAACUUCCCCGGUCUCCACCGCUCGGGUAUCCUUGUAGCAUAAAUCAAUGCCCCUAGUCCAUUAACAACCCCCAUUAACACCUCAUAGCCGGCAGUCUGGGUGGCCUCUGGCUGAUUCCUGAACAAUAUGAGCUUAUGAACUAUAGGCACGACACUUGACACGCCCAUCCCAAAGAAGAGAGAAGCACGAUGGCUACGAAACUUGGGUCCUUGGAAAAAUGGGAGUUGGGAGAAAACCAUGGUGGUGAUACCUAGUACUGUGAUGAAACCUAAGUAGAGGUUGCAAAGGAAGGGGUUGCACAUGAAGGAGUAGUAGACAGUAGGGUAAAAUGAGGUCAUGAUGAGUGCAGUGAUGCCUGCAUAGUCACAUCUUUGCAUUAUGGAGGAAAGGCGCGCUGAAUGGCAAGCAACGAGAUGGCAGGUGCUGCUGGCUAGCAAGCAGAACAUGACUCCACCUAGAAACACAAAGAAGGGCCGCCUUGUUAUGGGCCGAUACAUAAGGGGGGCCACCAUGUUCAUCACGUCAUCCAUUACUCCAUCCUGCAAUUGUUAAACAAAUAACAAAGGCAUAAGGCUGGAAAACAAAAGGACUUCCAAUUAAAAAGUAUGUUGCCAUUGGUAUAUAGACCGGAUUUUAUAGAGACUUUAUCAGAAAGUUUACAUCAGUAGCUGGGUAAAAAAUUCAUGCAUGUAAAGGGAAUAAAAAAAAAGUCAAAUAAAAUUUGAAAAGCACUCAAAGACAUCUUUGCAUUGGAGUUGCAUUUUUUAAUCAAAGAGCAGGACAAUACCAGAACAGAAUUCUCUGUUUGAUUGCCAUGGGAGAACCGGUCAGGCAAGCAAUUGGCGAGAAGUUCCCUUAUAUUCCCUGAAGCUGAGGGGGGAAAAUCCAUAGACGGCAAAGAUAGCGAAGGGAGGCAAUUCAACAGUUCUGGAUGAAUUCUGUGCAAAUCGGCUCUUCUAAUCAUGUCAGACAAACGUUGCAGGGAAGACAGAUCCAUGAGGUCUGGAGCUUUUGUUGCUGUGUAUAUGGUUAGGAAAAGGAAAAGGAAGAACCCGAUCAAAUACAACAACAACAACAACAACAACAACAAAGCAUUUUCCCACUAAGUGGGGUCGGCUAUAUGAAUCCUAGAACGCCAUUGCGCUCGGUUUUGUGUCAUAUCCUCCGUUAGAUCCAAGUACUCAAGUCUUUUCUUAGGGUCUCUUCCAAAGUUUUCCUAGGUCUUCCUCUACCCCUUCGGCCCUGAACCUCUGUCCCGUAGUCACAUUUUCGAACCGGAGCGUCAGUAGGCCUUCUUUGCACAUGUCCAAACCACCGGAACCGAUUUUCUCUCAUAUUUCCUUCAAUUUUGGCUACUCCUACUUUACCCCGGAUAUCCUCAUUCCCAAUCUUAUCCUUUCUCGUGUGCCCAUACAUCCCACGAAGCAUCCUCAUCUCCGCUACACCCAUUUUAUGUACGUGUCGAUGCUUCACUGCUCAACAUUCUGUGUCAUACAACAUCGCUGGCCUUAUUGUCGUCCUAUAAAAUUUUUCCUUGAGCUUCAGUGGCCUACGACGGUCACACAACACGCCGGAUGCACUCUUACACUUCAUCCAUCCAGCUUGUAUUCUAUGGUUGAGAUCUCCAUCUAAUUCUCCGUUCUCUUGCAAGAUAGAUCCUAGGUAGCGAAAACGGUCACUUUUUGUGAUCUUCGCUAGAUUGCUCCGGUCAUUAGUGUGGAUAAGUAUAUAAAUGGAUAGAGAUAGGAAAGCAAACACAAGAUGUACGUGGUUCACCCAUAUUGGCUACGUCCACGGAAUAGAGGAGUUCUCAUUAAUUGUGAAGGGUUUACACAAGUACAUAGGUUCAAGCUCUCAUUUAGUGAGUACAAGUGAAUGAUUUAGUACAAAUGACAUUAGGAAAUAUUGUGGGAGAAUGAUCUCGUAACCACGAAACUUCUAAGUACCGGAGUGUGGUAUCGUCUUGACUUGCCUUAUCUGUCUCAUAGGUAGAUGUGUCAUCUUCUCUGGAAGUACUCUUCCUCCAUCCAGGGGUGGUAUCUGUAACUGGUGGAGAUGCACAAGGUAAUGUAUCAAUUUCACUUGAAGCUUACUUGUAGUUUCAGGCUUGGUCAAGCGCGAUACAAACCAUGUAGUAGGAGUCCCCCAAGUCGCCGAGCUAGGGGAUCUGCUGAAAGAGGUGACAGACAAGGUAAGCAAUCAGAGCUCCGACUGAUUGUUCACAUUCUCCCUAUCUUGCAGGCAGCAUGAAGGAUAAAGAGAAGAAAAAUGAGAAGAGAUGAUAUGGGAUACUUUUGCUUUUGAAGAAGUAACUUUCCACAAGCUUAUUCUUGAACCGGGCUGGAGGGUUUUCUGGUUUCCUCCAGAGUAUAAGGCCGACUGAAGAAUUUGAGGGUCAAAACAAGUCCAUCAAAUCUAGAGUACGUUCGACCCUGCUGAUAUGGGAUACUUUUUCUUUUGACAGAGUAGUGGAUGUAUCGGCACGUGUGUUGUUACGCUUGUCUCCACAUGCUUCCUUGUAUCCUUCUCACUUGCCCUAUCUGUUCCUCAGGUAGAUGCGGUAUCUUCCCUGGAAGCAUAAGAUGUUGAAGAUGAGUACUCGAGAGCAAUGCCAGGUAAGUAAUCAGGUAAGGGGUUCCAGGCAGUCAAUUCCUGGCUGGAAGCUUGAUUCCAAGUGCUGACUGAUUGCUCUCUUUCUCCUUGUCUUGCAGGUAAGAACAAGGCCAAAGGAAAAGACAGGGAAAAAGCAUGAUAUAGGAUACUCUUGCUUUUAACCAUGAUGAUAUGAGAUAUUCUUGCUCUUGUUUACAGAUGUAUUAUCGGGGGGAAAGAAAGCUGAAUAUUUCGAAAGGCUUCGUUGGGAGUGCCCUCUCAGAUAAGAGGAAUGGUUGAGCAUUUUUGCAGGUCUGCCUGUCCGUUAGGGAUGGAGGUCGACAUAUAUAGGAGUCUCCCUAACAUCAAGUAAUAAUGCUAUUCCUUUACCCUGCUUGGUCAUAGCACGGUAGUGGGAGCUGCCAGCUUCACAUGUUUUAACUCUGUCAGAGCACUUUGAAAAAGUGGUCUGUGGUAUCUGGAAAGCUGAUGUUGCGUGUGAAGAUUACGGACAAGCUUUAUCCAAGGAGAUCCAGCUCUUGAAGUUGGGAAAGUGGUGCCUCUUCGGUUUUCGAACAAGCAAUCCUGUCGGGGAUCUGGCUCUCGAGAUUCGGAUAACGAUGUCUCUUCGAUUUUUGAGAAAGCAAUCCUGCUGGGGGUCUGGCUCUCGAGAUUCGGAGAGCGGUGUCUCUUCGAUUUUUGAGAAAAUAAUCAUAUUGGGAGUCUGGCUCUCGAGAUUCGGAUGGCAAUGCCUCUUCGAUUUUGGAGCAAGCAAUCUUGUUGGGAGUGUUUUCUCGAAUGUGAGUAAAGGUUGGGCAUGUUUGCUAGUCUACCUUGCCACGAAGCACAGAGGUUGACACACAGGGACUUUCCAAUUAUCCAGCAGUGGUACUGUUCCUUUACCCUCUCUUCGAUUUUUGAGAAAGUAAUCAUGUUGGGAGUCUGGCUCUCGAGAUUCGGAGGGCGGUGCCUCUUCGAUUUUGGAGCAAGCAAUCUUGUUGGGAGUGUUUUCUCGAAUGUGAGUAAAGGUUGGGCAUGUUUGCUAGUUUACCUUGCCACGAAGCACAGAGGUUGACACACAUGGACUUUCCAAUUAUCCAGCAGUGGUACUGUUCCUUUACCCUCUCUUCGAUUUUUGAGAAAGUAAUCAUGUUGGGAGUCUGGCUCUCGAGAUUCGGAAGGCGGUGCCUCUUCGAUUUUGGAGCAAGCAAUCUUGUUAUGAGUGUUUUCUCGAAUGUGAGUAAAGGUUGGGCAUGUUUGCUAGUCUACCUUGCCACGAAGCACAGAGGUUGACACACCGGGACUUUCCAAUUAUCCAGCAGUGGUACUGUUCCUUUACCCUUGUGGGUAAUAAUAUGGUAGCUAGACCUUCAAAAUUUAUGUGUCUAAACUUUGUUAGUGUUGUUUCUUUGCUAUUCUUUUACCCUUCUUGGUCAGAGCGAUGUAGUAGGAGCUGCAAGCUUCACGUGUCUCAACUUUGUCAGAGAACUUUGGCAAAGUUAUCUGUGGUACCCAUGAGCUACUGUUGCAUGUGGGAAGUGGGUGAUUGAACAGUACGAUUCAUGUGCUUUCUACUUCGCCAGAAAUCUUCGACAGAAUGCCCAUAAUUUCCGCAAAGCUGAGUGUGCGUGUGACAGGUGCUGACAAGGCUGGAAAAGUAGGUGCCUCUUCGAUUUCUGAGAUCGGCCCUCGUGGUCUCUGAGCAGCCCAGCUUUUGAGAAAGCAAGCCUCUUCGAUUUCUGAGAUCGGCAUUUGUGGUCUUUGAGCAGCCCAGCUUUUGAGAAAGCAAACGCCUCUUCGAUUUCUGAGAUCGACCCUCGUGGUCUCUGAGCAGCCCAGCCUUUGAGAAAGCAAACGCCUAUUCGAUUUCUGAGCAGGCGCCUCUUCGAUUUCUGAAGCUUCGUCGAGUGCAGAUUUUUAUAAGGGCUGACAUUAAGUUCCAAAGCACACUUGAAUAUCCACCAGUAGAAGCUCCAUUCUUGCACUUCUAAGAUCUUGAUUUGUCCGACCUCUUCUCUCUUCUUCAACACCUUUGAAAAUGUCUGGCCCCUCCGACCGUCGUUUUGACUUGAACCUUGUUGAAGAGGCAGCCCCGCCUUCUCCAGACAACAUAUGGCGCCCAUCCUUCGUCUCCCCUACUGGUCCUCUUACCGUUGGGGAUUCCGUGAUGAAGAAUGAUAUGACCGCUGCGGUAGUGGCCAGGAACCUUCUCACUCCCAAAGAUAACAGACUACUUUCCAAACGGUCUGAUGAGUUGGCUGUUAAGGAUUCUCUGGCUCUCAGUGUUCAGUGUGCAGGUUCUGUGUCUUCUAAUAUGACCCAACGCCUAUUUGCUCGAACCCGCCAAGUUGAAUCAUUGGCGGCUGAAGUGAUGAGUCUCAAACAGGAGAUUAGAGGGCUCAAGCAUGAGAAUAAACAGUUGCACCGGCUCGCACAUGACUAUGCUACAAACAUGAAGAGGAAGCUUGACCAGAUGAAGGAAUCUGAUGGUCAGGUUUUACUUGAUCAUCAGAGAUUUGUGGGUUUGUUCCAAAGGCAUUUAUUGCCUUCGUCUUCUGGGGCUGUACCGCGUAAUGAAGCUCCAAAUGAUCAACCUCUGAUGCCUCAUCCUUCUAGGGUUCUGUCCAGUACUGAGGCUCCGAAUGAUCCCCAUCCGGUGCCUUCUCUUUCUGGGGCUCUACCGACUGCUAAGACUUCUCCUAAGCAACCUUUGUGAAGGCUCCCUCUUGUUUGUUUAUUUUGACUCAAGUAUAUGUACAUAUUUGUAACUUAUCGGGGAUAUCAAUAAAUAAGCUUUCCUUCAUUUCAACGUAUUGUGUUAAAUAAACCAAAGCCUUCUUCGCUAAGUUCUUUGAAUUUUCUUUUGUUGAAGCUUGUAUGUUGAAGCUUUGUGAGUGGAGCAUGUAGGUUGAGGUAGUGUUCCCUUAAUUUCCCGAGUGAGGAAAACUUCUCGGUUGGAGACUUAGAAAAUCCAAGUCACUGAGUGGGAUCGGCUAUAUGAAUCUUAGAACGCCAUUGUGUUCUGUCUUGUCUCAUGUCCUCCGUGAGAUCCAAGUACUCUAAGUCUUUUCUUAGGGUCUCUUCCAAAGUUUUCCUAGGUCUUCCUCUACCCCUUCGGCCCUGAACCUCUGUCCCAUAGUCGCAUCUUCUAAUCGGAGCGUCAGUAGGCCUUCUUUGCACAUGUCCAAACCACUGUAACCGAUUUUCUCUCAUCUUUCGUUCAAUUUCGGCUACUCCUACUUUACCCCGGAUAUCCUCAUUCCUAAUCUUAUCCUUUCUCGUGUGCCCACACAUCCAACGAAGCAUCCUCAUCUCCGCUACACCCAUUUUGUGUACGUGUUGAUGCUUCACCGCCCAACAUUAUGUGCCAUACAGCAUCGCCGGCCUUAUUGCCGUCCUAUAAAAUUUUCCCUUGAGCUUCAGUGGCAUACGGCGGUCACACAACACGCCGGAUGCACUCUUCCACUUCAUCCAUCCAGCUUGUAUUCUAUGGUUGAGAUCUCCAUCUAAUUUUCCGUUCUUUUGCAAGAUAGAUCCUAGGUAACGAAAACGGUAGCUCUUUGGUAUUUCUUGAUCUCCGAUCCUCACCCCUAACUCGUUUUGGUCUCCAUUUGCACUGAACUUGCACUCCAUAUAUUCUGUCUUUGAUCGGCUUAGGCGAAGACCUUUAGAUUCCAACACUUCUCUCCAAAGGUUAAGCUUUGCAUUUACCCCUUCCUGAGUUUCAUCUAUCAACACUAUAUCGUCUGCGAAAAGCAUACACCAAGGAAUAUCAUCUUGAAUGUCCUGUUAACUCAUCCAUGUAUGGAUGAGUUAACAGGACAUAUUCAAGAUGAUAUUCCUUGGUGUAUGCUUUUCGCAGACGAUAUAGUGUUGAUAGAUGAAACUCAGGAAGGGGUAAAUGCAAAGCUUAACCUUUGGAGAGAAGUGUUGGAAUCUAAAGGUCUUCGCCUAAGCCGAUCAAAGACAGAAUAUAUGGAGUGCAAGUUCAGUGCAAAUGGAGACCAAAACGAGUUAGGGGUGUGUGAAUAACUAUUAAGAGCAAUGGUCUUAAAAGCAUUUCUCAGCAAUGUUAUUUACUUGAGAGGCACAGCUUCAAAAAACAAAUAACCAUUGCAUUGUAUUGCGGUAAUAAGUAUUAGGCACUAGAGUACUUACGUCCAGACAUUAAGAGUCUGAUUAUGAAUGGAAAAGAUGCUUAGAAACACCUGCUUCAAUGGCCAUUCCGAUCGGUAAUGACCCAAAAUGAACUCAUUGUCCCUUAAAAAAUCAGGCAAUGAAUGGUAUUCAAUAAGCUGAUAUUUAACUUUCUUCCUGAGUCUCUUUCCCUUUGCUUCCUUUGAACGCGUUUCGUUUACAUCUUCAUGGUCGAAUUGAUUUUCUUCUGAUCUAGUUUCUGCAACCAAGAAGCAUUGAGAAGCAUUUUCCUACUAAGCACAGACAAGACUACAAACGAAGGUCUGUCAAAAAUUAAGUCCAAGUGCUUUUCUUGGAGAGAGAUAACUAUACAUGGGAACACGCAUCAUAUAAACAAAAUCCGUAACCAUUUCGUUUUUAGUUUUCCCGUUUUUGUUAGGAAUAGAGGAGAAAUACAAAGGAGAAAAGACGGAUGAAGGAAGGUGGAGGAAUGAUGGCGGGAAGGGUGUGGGAGAAAUGUACAUGGAAGAGUACACAAAGUAAAAACUAAAAACCGGAACAAUAUUUAGUAGCUUUUCAAGUUUCUAGUUUUUGUUUUCUACUUUCUCCCCCCGCCUUCUUUAUUUCUCAUUCCUCCAUAUACAUUCCCUCUAUUUCUACCAAGGAAAAAAUGAAAACAAAACUAAAAACGAAAUAAUUAUCAAACGAGCCCUAAGUAAAGGCUCGUUUGGAAGUACUUUUAAAUGAUUGAAAGCGCUUUUGGUAAAUUGAUUUUGGGUUCCCAAAGCACUUAAGUGCUUUUCAAAAUAAGCACCAGUAUGUGCUUCAUGCAGGAAACACUUAAAAGCUUUUUCAAGAUCCACUUAGAUUUUUACUAAAGAUUGAUUUCAAUAAUAUUUCACCAAAAACGCUUUCAGUCAUUACAAGUGGAGUUCACUUGACCACUGACAUACAAGCCAUCCACAUUCUUGCUUUCCUCUGAGAUACAUACGGCCGGCCCUUCGGGCAUCCUGGCGAUACAAAUACUGUUUCAGAGUUUUCUCAAAUAUUGACAGAUGAUUAAAUGUUUCAUCAAACCAUAUUGUUGCCCUUACAAAUAGGCACGUCCCUUUUAAUUUAACACAAAGAUUAUCCAAACCAAGAUUUUUCUUGUGAAAUUUACUGCCUUCUUCUCUUUUUCUCCUCACCCAUAACUACUAAUAUUAAGAUUAGCAUUCCUAAUCAAAAGGAUGUUUCUAAUCUCCAAAGACAUUACAAAUUCUUUUGACAAAUUCUCAACAAAUUGAUAGGAUUCCCAUGAAAAACAUACAAAUAGAAAAACCAGGCCACAGUACGAUCAAUCUUUCAUAUGCCAUGACUAAAAUGCACAGCUGAUAACCAAAACAUUAGAAUUAGAAGAUAAUAUAUGAGAGGAAAAGUAAUUACCUGAUAAUGGAGAAUCACCACCCAUGAUCAAGAUUCAAACCCAAAAGGAGUUUUCUUGAUGUUGUUUGGUUUUAGCUUCGAUGGAAACAAUGGAAAUUUUCUUGGGAAAAGUUUUACUUUUACUUUUAUAUUCCUGGGAAACUUGUCCAGGGGAAGACAAUUACCCGAGAUAACAUAAAAGUAUAAAUUCCAGAUGUUGGAGUGUGGUGAGAGAGGGAACAGGUACUAUCCGGAUUUUGAAGAUCAAUCAAUCAGGUUCAUCAUAUAUUGUACAGUCAUUUUUUAAAUUUUUAUUUAAAAAUAAACACAAACAGUAACUAACGAAAACCAUUAAUAUUUUCUCGGAAAAAGUUUUACUUUCCUGAGAAACUUAUGCGGGGGAAGAAUAUUACCCGAGAGAACAGAGUAAUGUUAUAUAGACGCACAAAAAUAACACACUCAAAUUAGAGAUCGUUUCAAUUAGAGUAGGCUUCCUGUCCAAAUCCCAAAUGGGGGGUAGGUGAAUCGUCAUCCUUUGCCCUCCAUUUGCCUUGUUCCAAGCACACCAUUUCUCUGUACUGAGUUCGUAAGCACUUGGACGUGUGUUUAAAUUCUGUAAUACGAGAUUAGUGACUAAUCAUUUCCUUCAUUAUCUAAACCACUAUCACAAACAUUCGUACCUUCAAAUGUGAUCCUGCUGGUGUUUCCUCUUCUUCAAGAUUGUACUCGACGCACCACAUGUGCCGACGUGACCCAAAAUCUCAAUUCAAUUCGAAAUGGAUAACCUAAACACACAAAUUUCAAUUCAAUUCGAAAUUUCAAACUUCAUUACAUAAUAAUUGAAACCAACAUGACCCAAAAUCUCAAAUUCCAUCCAGUUAAAUUUGAAUUGAGCUAAAUUUUACUACUAAAUCGAAAGAAUCAGUAAAAAACUCACAAGGUGAGAGUAAAAUGCAUGAAAGUAAUUCGGGGGAGUAGCAUGGUGACGACGCCGCGUUUGGGUUUGGAGCCACGAGACGACGCCGGAUUGAGGGAGGGAGGAAGGGCGGAGCUUGUGGCCGGAGAAGUCGGAGGAGAGGCUGUUGCCGGCGAAGGGAGAGAGGAAGCUGGUGGAAAGGGAGGCUCUGGGAGGGGAAUGAGACGACAUCAGAUUGGGCGGGUAGUGUUCAGGGCUCGGGGAGUGGUGGCCGUUGCUAACAUGUGUGGAGCGCGAAGCUGGAAGCUGUGGUUGGCACCUCCAUUGAUGAGUUUCGAACGGUGGUUAACUGGAGAACGCAGUAUCCAAAUGGAAGGAGAUAUCGAAACCAAAUAAAGUGGGCUCUUUUGGUUUUUGGGCUACAAAAU